rnacentral:rRNA from 1 species
AUUGAACGCUGGCGGCAGGCCUAACACAUGCAAGUCGAGCGGGUGAAGGGAGCUUGCUCCUGGAUUCAGCGGCGGACGGGUGAGUAAUGCCUAGGAAUCUGCCUGGUAUUGGGGGAUAACGUCCGGAUACGGGCGCUAAUACCGCAUACGUCCUGAGGGAGAAAGUGGGGGAUCUUCGGACCUCACGCUAUCAGAUGAGCCUAGGUCGGAUUAGCUAGUUGGUGGGGUAAAGGCCUACCAAGGCGACGAUCCGUAACUGGUCUGAGAGGAUGAUCAGUCACACUGGAACUGAGACACGGACCAGACUACUGCGGGAGGCAGCAGUGGGGAAUAUUGGACAAUGGGCGAAAGCCUGAUACAGCCAUGCCGCGUGUGUGAAGAAGGUCUUCGGAUUGUAAAGCACUUUAAGUUGGGAGGAAGGGCAGUAAGUUAAUACCUUGCUGUUUUGACGGUACCAACAGAAUAAGCACCGGCUAACUUCGUG